rnacentral:rRNA from 1 species
UACAGAGGGGGCAAGCGUUAUUCGGAAUUACUGGGCGUAAAGCGUGCGCAGGCGGUGAUGUAAGACCGAUGUGAAAUCCCCGGGCUUAACCUGGGAACUGCAUUGGUGACUGCAUCGCUCGAGUAUGGCAGAGGGGGGUAGAAUUCCACGUGUAGCAGUGAAAUGCGUAGAGAUGUGGAGGAAUACCGAUGGCGAAGGCAGCCCCCUGGGUCAAUACUGACGCUCAUGCACGAAAGCGUGGGGAGCAAACAGG